GUAGCCUAACCGCAAGGGGGGCGCGGCCGAAGGUGGGUUCGAUAAUUGGGGUGAAGUCGUAACAAGGUAGCCGUAUCGGAAGGUGCGGCUGGAUCACCUCCUUUCUAAGGAGA
rnacentral:rRNA from 2 species